rnacentral:rRNA from 1 species
UACGAACGCUGGCGGCGUGCAUAAUACAUGCAAGUAGAACGCAGUUGCGAACGGGUGAGUAACGCGUCGGUAACUGCCUGGUAGCGGGGGAUAACUAUUGGCAACGAUAGCUAAUACCGCAUACUACCAGAUGGACCUUCGUUGUAUUGGCUAGUUGGUGAGGUAACGGCUCACCAAGGCAACGAGACAUAGCCGACCUGAGAAGGUGAUCGGCCAAAGUGAGACUGAGACACGGCACAGACUCCUACGGGAGGCAGCAGAAGGGAAUCUGCGGCAAUGGUGGGGACCCUGACCGGGCAACGCCGCGUGAGUGAAGAAGGUUUGCGUAGCGUGAAGCUCUGUUGUUAAGGAAGCGGUACUUAACCAGAAAGGGACGGCUAACUACGUGCCAGCAGCCGCGGUAAUUC